ACUCCUACGGGAGGCAGCAGUGGGGAAUAUUGCACAAUGGGCGCAAGCCUGAUGCAGCAACGCCGUGUGAGUGAAGAAGGUUUUCGGAUCGUAAAACUCUGUCCUAAGGGAAGAAACAAAUGACGGUACCUUAGGAGGAAGCCCCGGCUAACUACGUGCCAGCAGCCGCGGUAAUACGUAGGGGGCAAGCGUUAUCCGGAAUCACUGGGCGUAAAGGGUGCGUAGGCGGCUUAGCAAGCCAGGGGUGAAAGGCAUUGGCUCAACCAAUGUAAGCCUUUGGAACUGUUAAGCUUGAGUGCAGGAGAGGUAAGUGGAAUUCCUAGUGUAGAGGUGAAAUUCGUAGAUAUUAGGAGGAACACCAGUGGCGAAAGGCGACUUACUGGACUGUAACUGACGCUGAUGCACGAAAGCGUGGGUAGCGAACAGGAUUAGAUACCCUGGUAGCACAGAG
rnacentral:rRNA from 1 species